rnacentral:sRNA from 1 species
CGCAGCGAUGUAGGAUAUUUAUACAGUGACUAUACUUCCAAACCGACGCAAUAAUAAUAAUCAACAAACAUGGGUAAACUUUUGGUUUAUACUAUCUUCGUUAUUUACGCUUCAAUGAUGGUGAUUGAUUUUGCUGUGGCAUGCCAAGCAUAUGAUACACUGUGUGUUGGAGCAAAUGGAGAGCGAGGAGACUGCUGUCCUGGCAUGCAUUGUCAGAAAAAUGAUCCAAGCUGGGCUAGGGGAAGGUGUUUGUACAAUACU